rnacentral:rRNA from 1 species
ACGAUCGGUAGCCGGACUGAGAGGUUGAACGGCCACAUUGGGACUGAGACACGGCCCAGACUCCUACGGGAGGCAGCAGUGGGGAAUAUUGCACAAUGGGGGAAACCCUGAUGCAGCGACGCCGCGUGGAGGAAGAAGGUCUUCGGAUUGUAAACUCCUGUUGUUGAGGAAGAUAAUGACGGUACUCAACAAGGAAGUGACGGCUAACUACGUGCCAGCAGCCGCGGUAAAACGUAGGUCACAAGCGUUGUCCGGAAUUACUGGGUGUAAAGGGAGCGCAGGCGGGAAGACAAGUUGGAAGUGAAAUCUAUGGGCUCAACCCAUAAACUGCUUUCAAAACUGUUUUUCUUGAGUAGUGCAGAGGUAGGCGGAAUUCCCGGUGUAGCGGUGGAAUGCGUAGAUAUCGGGAGGAACACCAGUGGCGAAGGCGGCCUACUGGGCACCAACUGACGCUGAGGCUCGAAAGUGUGGGUAGCAAACAGGAUUAGAUACCCUGGUAGUCCACACCGUAAACGAUGAUUACUAGGUGUUGGAGGAUUGACCCCUUCAGUGCCGCAGUUAACACAAUAAGUAAUCCACCUGGGGAGUACGACCGCAAGGUUGAAACUCAAAGGAAUUGACGGGGGCCCGCACAAGCAGUGGAGUAUGUGGUUUAAUUCGACGCAACGCGAAGAACCUUACCAAGUCUUGACAUCCUGCGACGAUGCUGGAAACAGUAUUUUCCUUCGGGACGCAGAGACAGGUGGUGCAUGGUUGUCGUCAGCUCGUGUCGUGAGAUGUUGGGUUAAGUCCCGCAACGAGCGCAACCCUUACUGUCAGUUACUACGCAAGAGGACUCUGGCAGGACUGCCGUUGACAAAACGGAGGAAGGUGGGGAUGACGUCAAAUCAUCAUGCCCUUUAUGACUUGGGCUACACACGUACUACAAUGGCGUUAAACAAAGAGAAGCAAGACCGCGAGGUGGAGCAAAACUCAGAAACAACGUCCCAGUUCGGACUGCAGGCUGCAACUCGCCUGCACGAAGUCGGAAUUGCUAGUAAUCGUGGAUCAGCAUGCCACGGUGAAUACGUUCCCGGGCCUUGUACACACCGCCCGUCACACCAUGAGAGCCGGGGGGACCCGAAGUCGGUAGUCUAACCGCAAGGAGGACGCCGCCGAAGGUAAAACUGGUGAUUGGGGUGAAGUCGUAACAAGGUAGCCGUAGGAGAACCUGCGGCUGGAUCACCUCCUUU